rnacentral:rRNA from 1 species
UACGGAGGGGGCUAGCGUUAUUCGGAAUUAUUGGGCGUAAAGGGCGCGUAGGCGGCCCGGUAAGUCAAAGGUGAAAUCCCUCGGCUCAACUGAGGAACUGCCUUUGAAACUGUCGGGCUUGAGGCCGGGAGGGGGUAGCGGAAUUCCCAGUGUAGCGGUGAAAUGCGUAGAUAUUGGGAAGAACACCGGUGGCGAAGGCGGCCCUCUGGACGGAUACUGACGCUGAGACGCGAAAGCGUGGGGAGCAAACAGG